CUUUUACCUUUCUCGUACCAAAUUUUAGUUGGUAUUUUGUUGUUACAGAUGCAAAUUUGGAUCAAGGUGCGCAACAUGAAAGGGUUUGUAAACUGCACAAUAAGAUUAAAUAAGUUCCAGUUUCUGUAUAGUAGAUCCAACAUUGUUGUUCCAAAGAAGAAAAUUGGACGCCUCUCUAACACAGUUUUGAGUUAGUGGUACGGACUGCAUACACUCUGCUCUCUUCAGACCCCACUGUGUGGGAAUAUACCGGGUAUGUUGUUGUAUAAUUUCCUUAUUAACUGUAAUUUUAUUUUUAUUUUUUAAUGUUUUUGAUAGAAGAGGUGAAAUUCCUAGUUUAUGAUGUUGGUUAGCCUCGUAUUUAUUGGAAUAGGUCUUAUUCUCCCAUUGAAAAAUGUUGCUUUUUUGUUUGUAUUAUGU